rnacentral:rRNA from 1 species
AACGAACGCUGGCGGCAGGCUUAACACAUGCAAGUCGAGCGAGACCUUCGGGUCUAGCGGCGGACGGGUGAGUAACGCGUGGGAACGUGCCCUUCUCUACGGAAUAGCCCCGGGAAACUGGGAGUAAUACCGUAUACGCCCUUUGGGGGAAAGAUUUAUCGGAGAAGGAUCGGCCCGCGUUGGAUUAGGUAGUUGGUGGGGUAAUGGCCCACCAAGCCGACGAUCCAUAGCUGGUUUGAGAGGAUGAUCGGCCACACUGGGACUGAGACACGGCCCAGACUCCUACGGGAGGCAGCAGUGGGGAAUCUUAGACAAUGGGGGCAACCCUGAUCUAGCCAUGCCGCGUGAGUGAUGAAGGGCCUUAGGGUUGUAAAGCUUCUUUCAAGCUGGGAAAGAUAA